rnacentral:tRNA from 1 species
GGCCACGUGGUGAAGGGGUAACACGGGAGUCUGCAAAACUCUUACUGCGCGGGUUCGAGUCCCGCCGUGGCCU